CUACAGACGCUUUAGCAUUGAGCUCCAUCCCAGUCCUUUUUAUUUAUUUGGAGACAGGGUCUUGCUAAAUUCCUGAGGCUGGCCUUGAACUUGCGGUUCUGCGAUUACAGGUGGGGUUUUAAGGGGCAUGCCAGCACAGGGGAGUAAGGGUAGCCUUUACACAGCGGACAAGUCUGACGCUGGUCCUGAGUCGGCUGGAGAGUCGGUGGGAUUUUUCUAGGCUCAGGGACUUGGCAAGAAAGUGCAGUGGCCUGAGUCUUGAAUACUGCUGGCCUAGAGUUCAGGAUCCUUCAGAGGCAAAGAGAGAGGAUUGAGAGGAUAGGAGGGAUUGGUUGGGCUUGGAAAAAAGAACCAGAAACGAGUGAAGAAAGAUCAAUCCAAAAAAAGAGGUUUUGUUUUUUCACUCAAAAUAAAACCUGUGAAACAAGGAGAAUAGAUAGGACAAAAUAGUCUGGUUGGACAUGGUUAGCCCUUCAUCUGAUGAAGAGGGAGUAGGUAAAAUUUAAGAAGCAAGACAAACUUAAAACUACUGGGCAUGGGCUGUGGCUGUGGCUCAGUGGCAGAGCGCUUGCCUAGCACGUGUGAGGCACUGGGUUGUAUCCUCAGCACCACAUACAGAUGAAUAAAUAAAGGCAUUGUGUUCAUCUAUAACUGAAAAAAAAAAUUAAACAAACAAACUGCUGGCAUGUUUGAAAACAGCCAGAGUCAGAGUUUGAUGAAUGAUCUCAUGGAUCAUUAAUAUUAGUCUUCUGCAAGAUUGGAAGAGUAGUGAAGGGUAGUCCUGAAGCAUGUGGGUUUUAAGCCUGACUGCCUGCUGUCCGGUUUGGGCAAAAUGUUUAAUUACUGGGUGUCCCAUUUUUCUCAUCAGCAAAGUAAGGAUAUUAAUGUUAAUAGCAUUAAUAUUUCUGAGGUACAGAUGUUUUGUACUCAUUUAAUUAUUUCAACUCUCCAGUCUUUAUUGAGUGGGACCACAUAACUAGCCUUUCAAAUGUGAGACAGCCAUGUGCACCACUUCCUUCAGUCCUCCAGCCCUCUCAGACCCUGCUACAGCAGUCUCCAGGAGCUUCAUAGUGGCAAGGCCAUAAAAAGGAAGUCUCUGAGUCCCUGAAUCACUACAGCACAGAGCCACCCCCCAACACUACCCAGCUUGUGCUGGAUUUUACAGGAAAAGUAAAUUAAAGCAUUUACAGUUUUUUUUUUUUUUAAUUUUAUUUAUUACUGCAGCCCAAUCUAGCCUAUUGCAGUUACCAUAUUUCAUUAAUUCUAAUGUACACAUUUUUAUUUCUUAAUAUCUGAAAUUGUGACAUGUUACCAUCAGUUGCUUCUUGUCAUCACUGUCAGCCAAGAUUAAAAUCAAGUUCUUCCAGCAUUUAUUUCUGCAUACUACUUGGGAACACCACCAUCUAUAAUUCUUUUAAUUAAGUCUAUACUUUUUAAAAAAUAUUUUUCAAGUUGUUGAUGGACCUUUAUUUUUUUCAUUUAUUUAUG
rnacentral:lncRNA from 1 species